GCUCUAUUAACUCAGUCGGUAGAGUGAAGUACUUAUAAUGCUUUGGUCGCGAGUUCGAUCCUCGCAUGGAGCA